GAUGAACGCUGGCGGCGUGCCUAAUACAUGCAAGUCGAGCGAACAGACGAGGAGCUUGCUCCUCUGACGUUAGCGGCGGACGGGUGAGUAACACGUGGAUAACCUACCUAUAAGACUGGGAUAACUUCGGGAAACCGGAGCUAAUACCGUAUAAUAUAUUGAACCGCAUGGUUCAAUAGUGAAAGACGGUUUUGCUGUCACUUAUAGAUGGAUCCGCGCCACAUUAGCUAGUUGGUAAGGUAACGGCUUACCAAGGCAACGAUGCGUAGCCGACCUGAGAGGGUGAUCGGCCACACUGGAACUGAGACACGGUCCAGACUCCUACGGGAGGCAGCAGUAGGGAAUCUUCCGCAAUGGGCGAAAGCCUGACGGAGCAACGCCGCGUGAGUGAUGAAGGUCUUCGGAUCGUAAAACUCUGUUAUUAGGGAAGAACAAAUGUGUAAGUAACUAUGCACGUCUUGACGGUACCUAAUCAGAAAGCCACGGCUAACUACGUG
rnacentral:rRNA from 1 species